AGCUUGGAGAUGGGGGAGGGGACACCAAGGCAACGCGUGGCGGCGUCCCCUCCACUCACUCCCUUUUCUCCCCAUCUCUCCACCCUGCGAUCACCACCCUCCUCGUGCAUU
rnacentral:rRNA from 1 species